GAGAGCAUAGAUGACCGUACUAUUCGUAGUUGCUACUCCGUGAUUGACCAGAACAAUCGAAGUUGCACAAGGAACCAACAGACGGAGCUUGGGAGUAGCUUACCGUCCUCAAUGUGCAUCUUCGAGAAUUCCAAACUUUAUUAGGUCAAUAACGGCGCCGGCCACGUCCUUACGGUCAUCGAGGAAGGAAAGGAAUGUUAUUAUGACGUGCGUUGCUUACUAAAGACCGAGAUCACCUCUGCGUCUCCACGUCUGUCAUGGGAAGGACUUUUUGUUAGUGGGGAGGGGAAAGGGCGCAUGAUAUGAGUUCACUUUGGUAAGUGGAGUGAUUCAUGCAACCCUAUUAAUAUCAAACCACUUAUUUUCAUUUGGACUAAAACAAAACAUAUGCCGACAUCGAAGAUGACGAACCAUUCAGAUAGUUUUCGAAGUGCGAAAAUUAACGAAAGAGAAAAUAAAGUGAUUUGAACCAACGUGGCUUUGGAACUUGGGCCGACACUUGACGUGACGAACAUUUCAAUGUCUGUUGACUAAAAUCGCAAAAAAUGUUGAUGUUGCAUUUAUCGUAUCAUAAAUCGCCCCGUACGAAGAUGAGCAGUCAAAUAGACGACGACGACGACGACGACCGAAUGAAAACGCGGCCUGUACACUUUGCCACCAAAAACUCACUAAAUCGCCCCGUACGAAGAUGAGCAGUCAAAUAGACGACGACGACGAC